AGACUUUUUAAGGAUAAUCCUGCUGUACUGCAUAGCUUCAAAGGAAAUACUAAGCCUUUAAAAAAAAAAUAACCGAUGCCUUCCAUAUGUAAAACAGCUUUAUUCCCUAGUUAAUGCUGAAUUUCUUGUUAAUAUAAAGUUCCAGGUCUUGGAUGGAAGCUUUCCUGCAGAACUGGAAAAUCAGAGAAUAUUUUUCUCCAUGCUGCUGAUUAAAGUACACAACAUUGCUGCAGGAGGACGUCACCAGUAGGGCUUUGUAAACCACUGCACCUUAACGAACAAUUACUUCCUCUUUCUAUUCCAUUGUUACUAUUACGAUUGCAGUCUUAGGCUCACUUAAACUUUGGAAUAAAUAAGUGCUGUGGUACAGUGUAGCAUUAUUUUUGAGCAAAUGUGCAUAGUUCACAACAGAACUUCCCCCUUGCUGUACCCUGGUUGUUCCAUAUAAAAGAAUAUAUGGGACUGUAGUUGGUGCCUGUUUCAUUUCUGUGGUUUGCAUGUUUGUUUACUGUGUUUUUUAAAUUCAUUUUAUGCACUUUGAACAUUGUAGUUGCUGAGAGGAGCACCACCAUGUGGAGGAGAAUUUUUGUGGUUGAAAUGUUAAUUUUGAGCAUUCACUAGGGUGCAGAGACAGAUAACUAAAUUUAUUUCACUGUAAAUGAAAACGUGAAUGUGAAACUGCAAAAUAAAAGCAAAUUGUAGGGCUA